GCCGCCAUAGCUCAGUCGGUUAGAGCGUGGGUCUAAUAAGCCCAACACAGGUGGUGGGA
rnacentral:tRNA from 1 species